rnacentral:lncRNA from 1 species
CUGGGUUCCUACCCGCAGCAUACGCCCUGCCAGCUGCCCCCAAGCCAGCACCCGCUGACCACUCACCUCAGGCAAGCACCUAGGAAGACGAUGCAGAUUCAAGCUCCAGACCUUGAGCCAAGCGCUGGGGAGGGAAUGGGGGCAAAGAGAUGGUGGAAAACACUUUCCUGAACUUACUGAAUACCCUAUGUUAUGUGUGGGUUUUCUAAUUGUUCUUUGCUUAAUGAAAAACCCACGUUGGAAAUCAGAAAAAGGCAGUAAUCCUCACCGUAUCUUGUGGGCUUCAAAGAGGAGGUUUUCCCCUUAAAGGGAGUUUUGGUCCAGAGGAGAGGCUAACAGCAGGCAGGAAGGGCAGAGGAAAAGAUAAAGCCUAGGGUGGUCUUCCCCCUGAGGCCUGGAGCCCACCAAGCUCCAACAGUUUCAUUUGGCUUCUGGGAAGCAAAGUACAGAUGCAUGUGUCUGCAGAGCACUGUUCUGAGCCAUUUGUCCCUAAUUCCAUGGUUCUUUGGUUCCUCCAAUCUUGUCUCCUCUCCUGUGGAAGAGGAUCCAAAGCAUUGGUCCACACUGCUAUUUACAAGUGGCUGAAGAAGGCGGAACAUGUGAGCAGUCGGGAAGGCACACACAGUGGGAGCCAGUAAGGGCCCCUGUGCAUCUGCAGGAGCUGAGGACAGAAGGGGUGGGCCUCCACGGUGGGCAUGUAGGAGUGGGCACAGAGAAGGGCCACAGAUCUGAGACAGAGACAGACAGGACUUCUUACCCUGCUGAGCCCUGCAGGGAGCCACUUCGUCUUUCAGCCCUGAUUUUGUCAUCUGUAAGGAAAUUUCCUCUCUCCCAGGGUAAUCAUGUGAAGCCAAUGAAAUAAUAAAAAGGACCACAUCGGAUGACCCCUGAGGCAGGUCUGCUCCCCAAAAGUUUACUCUUGAAUGUUGACCAAGGUUGAGCUAGGCAAAGUGGUAAAUUCACACACACGGUAUGUAGCCCCUUCCCCAACCCCAGUCUCCAUUACCGGGGGCAUGCUGUGAACUAACUGCCUCCUUUUCCCCACACACCCACUUCCUGCCCAGUCUUUAUGCCUCCCGAUAUGACAUCCCGUUCCCUCUUAAUUAACUGUGCCUAUAGAGAAACAUCUAGAUAAACCAUGCAUUUAAUCUGUGAGGGGUCAAUCAUUUAAUCAUCGUUGACAAUAAUGCUCACUCCUCUGUGGUUUCAGAGGACUCCUGGAGUGGAUGGAGACACAUGCCACUAAUGUGGGAUGCAUUUCAGUCUGUCUUCCAGGCCUCGUUUGGAGGUCUCCCUCUCUUACCCACCUAUCACACAUCCAUGUCUUCCCUUCCCUCCCCAGAGCCAAACCUGUCCCCGACUUUUUAUUCUCACUAAAGUUCAAAUGACAGAAAUCAGCUAGAUUAGUACUUGCCUUAGUCCUGAAGGAAAGGGAAGUGCUCAUUAGCUUCUUAAAUUGGAACAGGUCUGCAGGUGAAAAUGAAGAUGUGCUCAUCUCUGGCAGGAAGGUUGGGAGUGAGGGGUAUAGUCAUAAUGAGCAGCGUUUAUUUGGUGUGUGCCUCUCACUUGCCACUUUCUACCCAGCUGCCUGAAUAUCACUCCAGUUAGUCUGAGCACAUGAAACACCUGCAACUCCCCAGACCCACCAUGCUUUUUCUUGACUCUCUGAAUGCACAGCAGUGCCUCCUCAGCUAAGAACACAGUUCCCCAUCACCAAGCUUUGCUUUGCCCAACAGACCCCUUCUCCCUUAGGAUGAGAUUCAGUGGAUAAUCACAUCAUAAUCACGACCCUCUGGGAAGCCGCCUCUCUCAUCCUGGGUUGUGUGUUGUGUGUUUCCUUUCCACACUCCCUCAGCAGCCUUUGCCUCCCACUUUCAUAGAAUCUACCAUAUGGGAUUUUAACUGUUUGUCUUCCACUAGACAAUAAGCUCCUUGAAGACUGAAUUUCCAGGAACUUCUGUUGGAUCUGCAUGUUUGUGAAGUGAAUUACUGAAGGCUGCCCAGUUUCAUCUGAUCCUAGUCAAAACCUAAAUCCCUUAUUUCUACGCUACCUUUUGCCAGCACCUGAAAAUGAUGCCAGGUUUCUGGAAUCCACGGCAGCAAUGGGUGAUAAGUCUCCAGCAUCUGGGUGACAGCAGACUGACUCUGCUCUCAAGUCUCAUUAAUCCACAUUGUAAGUCACACUAUGUCCCUUUGGCUCCAUUUUCUUACCUGUAAAAUGGGGAUUUUGAACUUACUAAUAUGCCAGACACAAAGCUAAAGAAAGGAGCUGAAGAGACAGGAUAAAAAAGACGAAUAAUAGGUUCCUCCCUGUAAGAGCUCACAAUUCAGUGGGCUGACAUCAUCGGCCUUAUCCACCAGAUAGAGUGUUAGAAUAACAGGAUAGCAGGAUAGAGAGUUGAGAGAUAAAAGCACCAUAUAAUGUGACAGGAACUGCCACUUGUCACUCAAUUUCCAUUCUGCCCUGCUAUCUUAGUAACAGAACUCCUGUUUUUAUGGGGCAGACAUGUCCCCAACUAAACACAUUAUAUUUCCCAGCCUCUCUUGCAACUAGUGUAGAGAAACCAACUUUUAGAACCAGAUGUAAGCCUAUACAUUCUCUUAUGUUUCCAGGGAGUCUUUUUAAAAAGGGGAGCCAUGCCCUUUUCCCUUUUGUCUUCCAACCUCCUCCCUAGAAUGUGGAUGAGGUGACUGGAGUUCUUGCAGCCAUUUGGGGCCAUGAGAACAAUGGGUACACCUUAGGGAUGGCAAAGAGUGAGCUAAUUGGAAUAUGGGGCCCUCACCUCUUUGCAGGGCUAUUUUAUCCAUGUUGUAUACUGCAAAUCACUGUACUUCUCUCACCUGAGAAACAAACAGCUAACUUGUGUAUAGAUGUGUGUGUAUGUGUGUAUUAAUGCAACUGAUUCCACUCUCAACUGAUGAACGAAAAUAUUUAAUAUUAAUAAGUAUUACACAUAAUCCCUACUUUAUUUAGCUCCUAAAGAUCUCAUGAGAUUUAUUUUAAAACUAACAUGCUUCAAGAAUUUUUUUAACUUCUGGAAUAUCAAGUGAUAUGGUGGUGCUGAGCAAUGCAGGUAUUUUCACAACUAUCUUUAGGAGAUUCAAAUCAAUGCUUGGGCUCAGGUCACUUUAUGACUGAGAAGUCUGGAAAAUUGUAUUUUCUUUUGAAGUAGCAGGUGAACUUGUAGGACAAUAAAUCAGCUAGACAUGACUUGAGCCCUCAUGUACCCUCAUUCACAAGCAUAUGCACACGCUUACCUGCAUGGAUGGACAUGUACUUUCAGGAAGCCACACUAUGCAUCACACGCAUGCAUAGCCACACACAGGUACACUUUCACAUCCAUACUCAAUAGCAGGCUCCAGUGGAUUUCCUGCAAUUUUGAAGGCCCUGGAUUUUCCCUUCACCAGAACACUACGUUAUUAUGAGUUAUUAUUUUCAAGGACUUGGUUAUACAAGGCUGGAAGUGGUGUGAUGAGUCAUAAAGAGCAAGAGCAAGAAAGCUUAGUAGUCAGUCCUUGAUGGUGAAGGUGGAUUCAUGGAAAAGCAGAGAAAGGCAGAUUCCCUACUACACAUAAGUUCCAGGGUCAGAAGGAGAAUCCUGAUGAGCCAGGGGCAGUCUGAACAUCCAGAGGCCUCACCUUCAUGGAGGAUACUGCAUGAGAGUGUGAGUUAAGCUCCUCCCUGAGCUCCUGUCCUCCCCGCUCCAGGCCUGCUCCUCUAGACAAGCAAUUUUCAAUUGAUUCGAUCACUGCUUGUAUAUUUUGCUAUCUCUUUGAGCUCAGCCUCUAGCUCUGAUCCCAGUCCUUUGAGAACCUCCUCAGUGCUGUACACUAUGCUCAGGAUUUAAGAAAACACAAAGAUGAAGAAGACACAGUCUCUGCUCUCAAGAAGUGACAUUCUAUCAAAUAAUUGAGAAAUAAAUAUUGAUAGCCAACUCCAUAAAAAUAGAUAGAUAAUUACAGGAGUUGAUACAAAUCGUAGAACCUUGGCAAAUUCUCAGUUGUCUCAUCUGCAACUGAAGAAUAAUAACUUCUGCCAUCAGCAACUUGUGAGCUUAGAGAAACUACCCUCAUAAAUUAUUUAGGGAUUCCCUCUGCUACUCAACAAACCUUUUACUCAACUCUAGUUUAUUCAACAUUUCCCAGAAAACCCCAUCCAAGUCUUCCCCACUCUAAACCCUGGAAAUCUUCAUACCAAUUCAAUCCCCAGGUCUCAUUCACAGCAGAGAAUUUGUCUACCUACUUACUAAGAAAAAAGGCCAGAAGCAGUGGCUCACGCCUGUAAUCCCAGCACUUUGGGAGGCUGAGGUGGGCAGAUCAUGAGGUCAGGAGUUUGAGACCAGCCUGGCCAAUAUGGUGAAACCCUAUCUCUACUAAAACUACAAAAAUUAGCCAGGCAUGGUGGCACAUGCCUGUAGUCCCAGCUACUCGGGAGGCUGAGGCAGAAGAAUCACUUGAACCCAGGAGGCAGAGGUUGCAGUGAGCCAAGAUAACACCACUGCACUCCAGCCUGGGUGACAGAGAGGGACUCGAUCUCAAAAAAAAAAAAAAAAAAAAAGAAAGAAAGAAAGAAAGAAAAUAGAGGCCACAGGAGUUAUGGCCGCUCAGUUUCCAUCUUGUCUAUCUUGAAGUCUCCCUUUAUCUCCUGCCUUGAAGAAAGAUGCUUAUAUCCAAGUACUUUGGAGAGUCAAAACAAUAAUGACCAAGAAAUCCAAGACCAUAAAAAAAUAGAGUUUUAGGCCGGGCGCGGUGGCUCACGCCUGUAAUCCCAGCACUUUGGGAGGCUGAGGCAGGCGGAUCACGAGGUCAGGAGAUCGAGAUCAUCCUGGCUAACACGGUGAAACCCCGUCUCUGCUAAAAAUACAAAAAAUUAACCGGGCUUGGUGGCCGGCGCCUGUAGUCCCAGCUACUCCAGAGGCUGAGGCAGGAGAAUGGCGUGAACCCGGGAGGCAGAGCUUGCAGUGAGCCGAGAUCGCGC